GCAAUUUUCAUUAUAUUUAGUUUUUUCGCCAUAAAAAGUAACUUGGAGAAGACUACCUGGGUUGUUUUUUCUUCAAGGAAAGGAUAAAUUUUUCGCCAUAUUUCCCUAUACGACCUCAAUAUAAGACAAAAAUGAUUCCAACAUAGAAGGGACUACUGAGUCACAAUCACUUUUAUCCGAUAAUUCAUCAUAAAAAAACGUACAUGUGUUUGCUAGUUCGAUAAAAUCUCAACAAGACUAAUAGAUAAUUUCCUAAAUAGAUAAAGUUUGGUAGUUGGGACACAUAGUUCCCCUGAUUCUACUAUUUGCUAUGAUUUUUUUACUUAUUAAUUUCAAAUAUGGAUUUAACAGAUAACUCCAAAAUUGGAAAUGAAAAGAAUAUUCAAACCGUUGUUUACAUUGUUUUACUCAACGAGAUUAAUUCAGGAACCUACAUAAUGAAAAUUCCAAGACGGCAAUUUUUACAGUAGAAUUGAGUGUCACAACGGAAUGACUGUUCAAUUCGAUCCGGUGUACUAACUAAAGAUUAAUUCAAAAUCAAAUACUGUAAAAAUCAAAGUUUCAAUAAACAUGAACAAUUCAGCUGGUAUCUACCAUUUUUACCCAGCAGCUAACUCUCAAUAACACAGAAAA